rnacentral:rRNA from 1 species
AUUGAACGCUGGCGGCAUGCCUUACACAUGCCAGUCGAACGGCAGCAUGAUCUAGCUUGCUCGAUUGAUGGCGAGUGGCGAACGGGUGAGUAAUACAUCGGAACGUGCCCUGUAGUGGGGGAUAACUAGUCGAAAGAUUAGCUAAUACCGCAUACGACCUGAGGGUGAAAGUGGGGGACCGCAAGGCCUCAUGCUAUAGGAGCGGCCGAUGUCUGAUUAGCUAGUUGGUGAGGUAAAGGCUCACCAAGGCGACGAUCAGUAGCUGGUCUGAGAGGACGAUCAGCCACACUGGGACUGAGACACGGCCCAGACUCCUACGGGAGGCAGCAGUGGGGAAUUUUGGACAAUGGGCGAAAGCCUGAUCCAGCAAUGCCGCGUGUGUGAAGAAGGCCUUCGGGUUGUAAAGCACUUUUGUCCGGAAAGAAAUGGCUCUGGUUAAUACCUGGGGUCGAUGACGGUACCGGAAGAAUAAGGACCGGCUAACUACGUG